rnacentral:misc_RNA from 1 species
UUUAUUUAUUUAUUUAUUUUUGAAGUUCCUGGGAAUGUUAGAUUAGAUUGGGGGGAGGUAAGAUUAAAAUAUGAUUUUUUUAAAGUUUUUCAAAGGAUUUUCAUGGUUUCGAGGUCUUUAUAAUUUUUUAGUGUUUAGAGGAAAGAGUGCUUUAAGGUAUUUGAGAUUUUAAAGAAAAUUCUUCUUAAUUCACCAAUUUGGGUCCAAAUACCUUAGUUUAAAAAAUCACAUAUUUUCCCAAAUACAAGUUCAAAGUUUUUAAACCCUUGAAAACCUCCUCUUACUUUAAAAAACCUUCUCACAAAGAAAGGGCAGGAGUUUUAUUUUCUUCCUAAUCUGGGUAAUUUCACAAACAUAUAUGUUGCCCCCAGGAUGCUUGGAACAAAUUCAGUG